rnacentral:lncRNA from 1 species
GGGGUCUCACUAUGCUGCCCAGGCUGGUCUCGAGCUCCUGGCCUCAAGCAGUUCUCCUAUUUCAACCUCCCAAGUUAGAGGCUCCUGAACUACAAUGGCAACGAUUGAAGAAACUGUUGUUGAAAAGUCCACGCCAAAUUCUCGGUAUGUCACUGAAGACAAGGACAUUUUGGGUAGAACCAGGCUGCUAAUCCACUCUUGCCAGGAGGGAAGAUUUUUUCUCUUUCUGUAGUGAGCAACAACGCCACUCGAUGAAGAAACUGAGGUUCAUGGAAGUUAAAUAACUUGCCCACAGGGCACAACUAGUAGGCAGCUAAGCUAGGACUUCAACUGAGGUCUGUAAGACUUAAAGCACAUGCUAUUCCUGCUCCUCAAUAGCUUUCCUGCUAAGCACCAAGAGACGCUAGGCUGCCAGGAACAUCACAGCAGAGACCACCGUCAAUCAAUGCAUCUCCACCGUCUUUUAGACAUUCUUUUGAAGAAAGAUUUAGCUGCUAAAAGAAAAGAUGAAUAUACAAAAAGGAUAAUACUACCAUAUUUCAUCAUAUUGUCUCGUUUUAAUACAAGAAGACUCAUCCAGCUUAAACAUUUGAUGUUUAAGAAGCUAACCAGCAAGCUGCCCUCUGGGAAUGCAUACCAUCAGGUAUGGAUCAGUGGCCCUGAGAUCAUGUUCAUAACUCAGCAGCUUUGUACAAGCUGUCAAGACUCAGAACAUGGUACCCCAAAGUAUGGCACCUUGGUGUGCUGAGUACU